AGCUCUCCGAGUGGUGUGGAUGUUUAUUGGGCCUAAAGCAUCCGUAGCUGGCUAAGUUAGUCCCUUGUUAAAUCCACCGAAUUAAUCGUUGGAUUGCGGGGGAUACUGCUUGGCUAGGGGACGAGAGAGGCAGACGGUAUUUUUGGGGUAGGGGUGAAAUCCUAUAAUCCCAGGAAGACCACCAGUGGCGAAGGCUGUCUGCUAGAACGCGCCCGACGGUGAGGGAUGAAAGCGUGGGGGAGCGAACC
rnacentral:rRNA from 1 species